rnacentral:rRNA from 1 species
CUACGGGUUGCUGCAGUGAGGAAUAUUGCACAAUGGGGGGAACCCUGAUGCAGCAACGCCGCGUAGAGGAUGACGCAUUUCGGUGUGUAAACUCCUUUUAUAUGUCAAGAAAAUGACGGUAGCAUAUGAAUAAGCACCGGCUAACUCCGUGCCAGCAGCCGCGGUAAUACGGAGGGUGCAAGCGUUACUCGGAAUCACUGGGCGUAAAGGACGCGUAGGCGGGUUGGAAAGUCAGGUGUGAAAUCCUACAGCUUAACUGUAGAACUGCACUUGAAACUUCUAAUCUAGAGUAUGGGAGGGGGAGAUGGAAUUAGUGGUGUAGGGGUAAAAUCCGUAGAUAUCACUAGGAAUACCUAAAGCGAAGGCGAUCUCCUGGAACAUUGUUGACGCUAAGGCGUGAAAGCGUGGGGAGCAAACAGGAUUAGAUACCCUAGUAGUC